rnacentral:rRNA from 1 species
GACCUCAGUUCGGGUGAG